rnacentral:rRNA from 1 species
UUUCCGUAGGUGAACCUGCGGAAGGAUCAUAAUGGAAUUAAACCUGAUGGGUUGUUGCUGGUUCUUCCAGGGAGCAUGUGCACACUUGUCAUCUUUAUAUCUCCACCUGUGCACCUUUUGUAGAUCUGAAUAGCUUUCUGAAUGCUUAGCAUUUGGGUUUGAAGAUUGACUUUUCUGUCUCUCUUCACUUUCAGGUCUAUGUUUCUCNAUAUACCCCUAUGUAUGUUAUCGAAUGUAAUAAAUGGGCCUUUGUGCCUAUAAAUUUAUACAACUUUCAGCAACGGAUCUCUUGGUUCUCGCAUCGAUGAAGAACGCAGCGAAAUGCGAUAAGUAAUGUGAAUUGCAGAAUUCAGUGAAUCAUCGAAUCUUUGAACGCACCUUGCGCUCCUUGGUAUUCCGAGGAGCAUGCCUGUUUGAGUGUCAUUAAUAUAUCAACCUCUUCAAAUUUGUUUGUCGAGUGUUGGAUGUGGGGGGUAUUUUUUUUGCUGGUCUCUCUUUGAGGUCAGCUCCCCUAAAAUAUAUUAGCGGGACAAUUUGUUGACCGUUCAUUGGUGUGAUAACUAUCUACGCUAUUGACGUGAGGCAGGUUCAGCUUCUAACAGUCCAUUGACUUGGACAAAUCUUUCAUUAAUGUGACCUCAAAUCAGGUAGGACUACCCGCUGAACUUAAGCAUAUCAAUAAGCGGAGGAAAAGAAACUAACAAGGAUUCCCCUAGUAACUGCGAGUGAAGCGGGAAAAGCUCAAAUUUAAAAUCUGGCAGCCUUUGGUUGUCAAA